rnacentral:rRNA from 1 species
CAGUCGCCGCGGUAAUACAGAGGAUGCAAGCGUUAUCCGGAAUUAUUGGGCGUAAAGGGCCCGCAGGCGGUUUCUUAAGUCUGAUGUGAAAACCCCCGGCUCAACCGGGGAGGGUCAUUGGAAACUGGGAAACUUGAGUGCAGAAGAGGAGAGUGGAAUUCCACGUGUAGCGGUGGAAUGCGUAGAGAUGUGGAGGAACACCAGUGGCGAAGGCGACUCUCUGGUCUGUAACUGACGCUGAGGAGCGAAAGCGUGGGGAGCGAACAGGAUUAGAUACCCGUGUAGUCCCUGUCUCUUAUAC